GCUUAAUUGAGUUGAGUUUUUUCUAAAGUUGCUAGCUCCUUCAUUGAGCUUGUGGGGUUAGAGCUCCCUCAUAAUGCUUACAGUAAGGUACAAUGGGUCGGUGAAAGAACAAGUCCAACUUCCCUUUUGCUUACGACUAUUCGGUAAUGCAAUCUGUAAUAUGAGAUUGUAUCAACUUGGUAUCAGAGCCAAAUGUCAUGGACGACUCCAAUCACAACAAUUCUGUCACAUAUCAAAUUGAGGUCUUUAUGAAAUAGAACUAAGAAGACAAGCAAUAGUAUUGUAGGGAAAGGGUGCAAGAAUGUGCGUUUUGGGCAGCAAAGGCCACAAGAAUGGAGACCCUGUUGCAUGAAUUCAUUUCAACGUGUUUGGAGGACCGCAAUGUUGAAUCCAACCACAUUUAAAGUGUAGGGUGAGGCACGAUGGAAGGCUUUAAAAAAUGAACUAGAAAACAAUAAUAAGAGCGAGAAUUACGUUCUUUGAUACGCGAAGUUAGAUUUUCCUAACUUCAAUGGAAUGGAACAUCCAUUGGGAUGGUUCAAUUGAUGUGAGCAUUUCUUUCACUACUAGAAUGUCAUAGAUACCAAACAAUUGGAGAUAGCUUCCUUUCACCUUCAGGGGAAGGCUUAGAUUUGUUUCCUUUAGGAUACCCAGGACUUAACUGGACUAAGUUCAAGGACCACUGUAAUCGGAGGUUUGGUCCAAUGGCCAGGGAAUAUCAACCAGAGGAAUUCAUCAAAUGUCGAUAGGUCAAAUCCAUCAACAAGUAUAAGGAACGAUUUGAGCAACUGGUCGCUAGUGCUAGGUUGCUAACACCAAUUAGAAACUACAACUUUUCGGUAUGCUAGUGAUAGAUCUGCAAUGAUGGGCUUCGAUCACUGCUAAAGCAAGUAUCUCGAACCCUUUUUUUUCUUUGAAAAAGAUACUUAGUCACAUAUUUGGCAUUUUCUAUUUAAAUUAAAAGGAUGUCUUGCUUUUGUUAAAGCCUUUGAUUGACUCGUUGAAGUGGUAGUCAUAGGAGACUGUAGUCAUACAUCAUAAAGAUAAUAUCCCAAUGAACCUUAUAGCUAAAGCUAAAAAAUAUAAUAUAUUGGAGCUUAAGAUUUAGCGAUCGGUGGACAUUGAAGAUGUUAUGAGUUUAGCCCUACUCUGAGAACAAAAGAGAGAUGGGGUUUGGCAAGAUUAUAAGAAUCAUAGAUCGGUUAAGUUGUUUGACUUAGCUUGGAAACUCAACCAAUUCUCCUGGGAUCCACUUACAAGAGCCCUGAAGUUCACACUGAAUGAAACAGAGUAAAGACACAAUUAAGGUCUUUGUUAUCAUUGUGACGAUUUCUAUAUAAGGCAUGGUUUUAAACUACGGUUGUGGUCACAUUCGCAAUUGCAGGUAACAGAGAUAGGUUUGUGAUGGUCAUAACGUAAUAGUAACGGCUUAAUGCUUAGCAAAUUUUUUUGAAAAAUUUGUA
rnacentral:misc_RNA from 1 species